rnacentral:rRNA from 1 species
UAGGGUUCGAUUAUGGCUCAGGACGAACGCUGGCGGUGCGCCUUAUGCAUGCAAGUUGAGCGAAGCUUUUUGGUAGUUUACUACUAGAAAUGACUGAGCGGCGAACGGGUGAGUAACGCGUGAGCAAUCUACCUUAGUUACUGGGAUAGCCCGAGGAAACUCGGAUUAAUACCGGAUAUUCUUAUUUUUUCACAUGAAGUUUUAAGGAAAGGUCAGCCGAACUAAGAUGAGCUCGCGUUCUAUCAGCUAGUUGGUGGGGUAAAAGCCUACCAAGGCUACGACGGAUAGCUGGUCUGAGAGGACGAUCAGCCACACUGGGACUGAGACACGGCCCAGACUCCUACGGGAGGCUGCAGCAGGGAAUAUUGUGCAAUGAGCGAAAGCUUGACACAGCGACACCGCGUGUGGGAUGACGGUUCUAGGAUUGUAAACCACUUUCAGGAGGGAAGAAAAUGACGGUACCUCCACAAGAAGACCCGGCCAACUAUGUGCCAGCCCGCCCGCGGUAAUACA